UCGAGAAUCUUUCGCAAUGGGCGAAAGCCUGACGAAGCGACGCCGUGUGAGCGAUGAAGGCCUUAGGGUUGUAAAGCUCUUUCGCCUGUGAACAAGAGAAGGUAGCUAAUAUCUAUCUAAUUUGAGCGUAGCAGGUAAAGAAGCACCGGCUAACUCUGUGCCAGCAGCUGCGGUAAUACAGAGGGUGCAAGCAUUAAUCGGAUUUAUUGGGCGUAAAGAGCGCGCAGGCGGGCUUUUAAGUCAGAUGUGAAAUCCCGGGGCUCAACCCCGGAACAGCAUUUGAAACUGAGAGUCUUGAGGGUAGUCGGAGAAAGUGGAAUUCCACGUGUAGCGGUGAAAUGCGUAGAUAUGUGGAAGAACACCGGUGGCGAAGGCGACUUUCUAGAUUAUUCCUGACGCUGAGGCGCGAAAGCAAGGGGAUCAAACA
rnacentral:rRNA from 1 species